UGCUGUGAGUGGCACACAGGGAGUGCUGGGCAGCGUGAACGCUGGCGUCCUGGGUUUGCAGGGACCAGUGAAACCAGCCACUCAACCGCCCUGGACGAAUCAUGCCCCCUCCCCCGCCAGAAACCAGGGCGUGUGCAGAGUAAAGCAACGUGGCAUUUGGUUAAAAGCCCAGGCUAUGAGUUUUCGCUCUCCUGACUUCAAGUCCCAGCUCUGCUCAUCAACCAAGUGACCUCGGCAUGUUAUUUAACCAACUAAACUCAAUUUCCUUAUCCACAAAAUGGGGGUGAUUUUGCCCAGCUUCCAGGAUUGUGGGAAUUAAGUGAACAAAGCUCCUGGCACAGGAGCUCAAUAAACAUGAAUUUUCUUCUUAGCUGUCA